rnacentral:lncRNA from 1 species
AGCAGGCUGAGGCAGGGCUCAUACCUUCCAAAGACUUGGGGCCACAGUGGCCAAGUGCCCCUGGGUGCCGACCACAGAGCUCACCUUCGCACCAUCCCCUCCUGCAGGGUGGGAAUGCAGGCCCCAGAGGGGUCCAGGAGGGAGUCUGCGUGGAUGGGGUGGCUGUCCAGGAAGUCCUGUUCCGGGGUCUCCCUCAGGGGGUGCUGCGUGCCUGCCAGCACCAUCCUCACUAUGCAGUCCUCUGCCUGGCUCUCCUCCCGUUGGGCCCCAAUCUGUGAUGGAACAGAGGGGAGAGAUGGAACUGGGGCCCACCCAGGCCAUCAGGAGGGCUGGAGGCCGAAGCCCAGACCACUCUGCAAGUCGCCAUCAUGGCUCGUACCAGAAGGGGCACAAGUGGGCCCGGCAGAAAAGCAAUGCAUGUUAGAAGGUACACAAAAUGAUGUUGAAACACCACAGUUUUGGAUGGUGGUCUUGGCUCUACCUGCCCCUCAGAGUCAUUACCUAGCAGUCUUACUGUGCUCUGUGGAAAAACGUCCCCUGAAAUGCAAAGACAGAGCGGAGCAGAAGAAAGAGCCAGCACUGAGGAGCCUUACCUUUGGUUCAGUUUGCUGAUCCCUACACAUGGAGGAGUGGAAGUGAAAAGACAGAAGCGCUGUGUGUGGCCUUUGAACCCCGGUGACGAUUCCCUGCUAACAGCAGUUUAUGUCCUGGAAUCUAACCAGCUAAUACUGCAUGCUUUGGGUAUAAAGGACUAAGUGGAAAGAUUGGUGGGCAGAGGGGUAAUUUUUUUUUUCCCUUCAUGAUAUUCAGGUGAUGUCCUGCUUGAAUAUAAAUUAAGUGUGUUCUUUGCCUACUGCUGAGGUUUUCUUAUUGUUCAUGGGCCUGUUGACUUGUAGUAGUACAACUUUCCUGUAUUCUCAAGGAAACUAGGAUUCCCAUGUCUGAAAACAUAAUUUUCUCAGGCCUUCAUAUCACAACUAUCACCAUAUAUUCCUAUCUUUAGUGUGACAGCUUAGGAAGAAAUAGCAUCCUGAUUUAGCAGAAGCAGAUGUCACAUAAAAUACUUUGCUUUAAUGUCGACAAAGUGAAACUGUGAAUUAGUCACUUAAGAAUUUACUCUAGUGAAUAUCCAAACAGACGUGCUCAUGUAGAAAAGAAAAUAUGUUCCUUCUGUCACUGGCCCACACUGGCAUUACUGGCAUGUGACUUUACACCAUUCCUCCAGGAGCCAGCCAGGGCUUUGCUAAAAUAUCUUGGCUGUGUAUCUUGGCCCUGUGCUUGGACAGUGCCCACUGGGUGGUGGGAGAUAAGUCCUUGAACAUUGUCCAAUGCCUAGAACACGGAGGGUCUGUGUGAGAACUGUGGAGUCUUGGCCCUAUGCCUAGUGUCCCACACUGGCCCAGUGAGCCCAUGGCAGGCAAUGGAGGGUUAUGAAGUAUUUGUUGUUUAGUAUUUGUUGCCUUUUUGGUAGAAGGUAAGUUUUACAUGUUUAAUGUUAGAUGCC